ACGACCUUUAAAACAGUCCCGUGAGGCUGGGAAGGUAACGGAAUAAGCAGUCAGCUGCAUGCAGCUGGUGCUGUAAUCACUCUGAUUAUUCUGCCCUCUCAUCCACACGGUGAGAGGGUUUUAUUGUU
rfam:Bacillus sp. SA2-6 scf7180000001080, whole genome shotgun sequence.